rnacentral:lncRNA from 1 species
AUUCAGGUGGUGUUUGAACCAACAUUCCAAGUUCAACCUUCAAGAAUUAUUUGCCUUCGCUUGUAUCAAAAUUCAAUUUAUUAAUACAUUUAUAUAUUCAUUUUGAAAUAAAUGAGCAUAAAAAGUUAAUAAAAACAAAAGAUAGCGACCGGUCACCUUGGUGGAUAACAUUGUAGCGUCUUAAAGAGUGGGUGCAAGAGAUGUACAUAACUGGCACUGAAUACCCCAUAUAUUGCCAUGAAAACAG